rnacentral:rRNA from 1 species
UACAGAGGGGGCUAGCGUUGUUCGGAAUUACUGGGCGUAAAGGGCUCGUAGGCGGUUUGUCGCGUCGGGAGUGAAAACACUGGGCUUAACUCAGUGCUUGCUUCCGAUACGGGCAGACUAGAGGUAUUCAGGGGAGAACGGAAUUCCUGGUGUAGCGGUGAAAUGCGCAGAUAUCAGGAGGAACACCGGUGGCGAAGGCGGUUCUCUGGGAAUGUCCUGACGCUGAGGAGCGAAAGUGUGGGGAGCGAACAGG